UGGGCAGAGGGCGCGCGCAUCUGUCAGCGCCGGCUCCCAUUGGACAGUCCUCUCUGACGCCUCACGGACCGCCCCGCCCCUCUCCUCGAAUUGUUGUUGCUUGGCGGAGUGGCAGGAGAGGGAGGAGCGCGGCCGCUCCGAUUGGUGAGACCGGAGUUCUGCCCCGCCCGUCUCCGCUGGUGCGCACGCGCAGUCAGAACGUUCCCGUCCCAGACAUUCCCAGAACGGUCACACCCCUCAUUCCCCAGCUUCGAUCUGUUAGUAAACAGCGUCUAGUAGUCAGGAGGCGCUCGGGAUCUGUGAUUGGCUAUUGCCGAAAGAGGCGGGGAGAGCUGAUUGGAACGUUUGGUCCGCCAGUCACCGUGGACAGAGGAGGAGCUUAGAAGAAAGCACUUCUCACGCACGUGUUUGCGGACGUACCUGAUGGUCCCUGGCAGCGAUCCACAGCACCUACAAGGGCCACAUGUUGAAUGUGGGCAUGCCACAAUUUUAGAUGCACCCUGAAACCCUGCAUCUCCACUUGAAGAAGAGCCACCCUGACCUCCUUCAGACUGAGAUCUUAGAAACCCUCCAGAUGUGGCAGAUAUGAAGCACUUGACUGAAUCUGAGGAUCCGGUCUGAGAUCUGGCUAUGUGGACCUGUGCCGACCAGUGCACAGCUGGGGG